rnacentral:rRNA from 1 species
UACGAAGGGUGCUAGCGUUGUUCGAAAUUACUGGGCGGAAAGCGCACGUAGGCUGAUCUUUAAGUCAGGGUUGAAAUCCCUGGGCUUAACCUAGGAACUGCAUUGGAUACGGUUUGGCUAGAGACCGAGAGAGGAAGAUGGAAUUGUGCGUGUAGAGGUGAAAUUCGUAGAUAUGCACAAGAACACCGGUGGCGAAGGCGAUCUUCUGGAGCGGUACUGACGCUAAGGCACGAAAGCGUGGGGAGCAAACAGG